rnacentral:rRNA from 1 species
UACGAAGGGGGCUAGCGUUGCUCGGAAUCACUGGGCGUAAAGAGCGCGCAGGCGGUCGUUCAAGUCGAGUGUGAAAGCCCCCGGCUCAACUGGGGAGGGUCAUUCGAUACUGAUCGACUUGAAGGCAGGAGAGGGAAGUGGAAUUCCCGGUGUAGUGGUGAAAUGCGUAGAUAUCGGAAGGAACACCUGUGGCGAAAGCGGCUCACUGGACCAUUACUGACGCUGAUGCACGAAAGCUAGGGGAGCAAACAGG